rnacentral:rRNA from 1 species
CAGCAGCCGCGGUAAUUCGUAGGGCGCAAGCGUAUCUGGAAUUAUUGGGCGUAAAGAGCUCGUAGGCGGUUGUCGCGUCUGCUGUGAAAUCCGGAGGCUCAACCUCCGUCUGCAGUGGGUACGGGCAGACUAGAGUGCGGUAGGGGAGAUGGGAAUUCCUGGUGUAGCGGUGGAAUGCGCAGAUAUCAGGAGGAACACCGAUGGCGAAGGCAGAUCUCUGGGCCGUAACUGACGCUGAGGAGCGAAAGGGUGGGGAGCAAACAGGCUUAGAUACCCUGGUAGUCCACCCCGUAAACGUUGGGAACUAGUUGUGGGGUCCAUUCCACGGAUUCCGUGACGCAGCUAACGCAUUAAGUUCCCCGCCUGGGGAGUACGGCCGCAAGGCUAAAACUCAAAGGAAUUGACGGGGACCCGCACAAGCGGCGGAGCAUGCGGAUUAAUUCGAUGCAACGCGAAGAACCUUACCAAGGCUUGACAUAUACGAGAACGGGCCAGAAAUGGUCAACUCUUUGGACACUCGUAAACAGGUGGUGCAUGGUUGUCGUCAGCUCGUGUCGUGAGAUGUUGGGUUAAGUCCCGCAACGAGCGCAACCCUCGUUCUAUGUUGCCAGCACGUAAUGGUGGGAACUCAUGGGAUACUGCCGGGGUCAACUCGGAGGAAGGUGGGGAUGACGUCAAAUCAUCAUGCCCCUUAUGUCUUGGGCUUCACGCAUGCUACAAUGGCCGGUACAAAGGGCUGCAAUACCGCGAGGUGGAGCGAAUCCCAAAAAGCCGGUCCCAGUUCGGAUUGAGGUCUGCAACUCGACCUCAUGAAGUCGGAGUCGCUAGUAAUCGCAGAUCAGCAACGCUGCGGUGAAUACGUUCCCGGGUCUUGUACACACCGCCCGUCAAGUCAUGAAAGUCGGUAACACCUGAAGCCGGUGGCCUA